rnacentral:lncRNA from 1 species
UGAUGACAAUGAAAAAUGUCACUCGGGUGGUAGGAAAAAAAUGACAAAUCAGCUAUUGGAAUUUGGUACACAAAAUAAAGGUAAACCGAUUAUAAAGAAUCACGCCACCAACUAAAGCCAAAUUCCAAGUAAGAUACGUGGCUUUCUACUUAGACCAAGCAACUGCGUCAAUUUCAGCUUGAGCGCUUCUGUAUAACUCGAGCCUCUUUGCCAGGGCAGUGCGUCUUGCCAUGACUGCUGGAUCCUCGUUCAAUAAUGAUGCCAAC